rnacentral:rRNA from 1 species
AUUGAACGCUGGCGGCAGGCCUAACACAUGCAAGUCGAACGGUAACAGGAAGCAGCUUGCUGCUUUGCUGACGAGUGGCGGACGGGUGAGUAAUGUCUGGGAAACUGCCUGAUGGAGGGGGAUAACUACUGGAAACGGUAGCUAAUACCGCAUAACGUCGCAAGACCAAAGAGCGGGACCUUAGGGCCUCUUGCCAUCGGAUGUGCCCAGAUGGGAUUAGCUAGUAGGUGGGGUAACGGCUCACCUAGGCGACGAUCCCUAGCUGGUCUGAGAGGAUGACCAGCCACACUGGAACUGAGACACGGUCCAGACUCCUACGGGAGGCAGCAGUGGGGAAUAUUGCACAAUGGGCGCAAGCCUGAUGCAGCCAUGCCGCGUGUAUGAAGAAGGCCUUCGGGUUGUAAAGUACUUUCAGCGGGGAGGAAGAGAGUAAAGUUAAUACCUUUGCUCAUUGACGUUACCCGAAGAAGAAGCACCGGCUAACUCCGUG